rnacentral:lncRNA from 1 species
GUGUUCUUGUAAAAGAGGCUUGAGGGAGCCCAUCUGUCCCUUCUGCCAUGUGAGGACACACAGAAGUCACCAUCUAUAAGAAACAGGCUCCCACCAGACACUGAGUCUGCUGGAGCCUUGAUCUUGAAUUUCCCAACCUCCAGAACUGUGGCCACCAGACUUUCUCUGCUUGUAUCCUCCCAGGACCACAGAACUCAUCGCAUCCCAAGGCAGCCUAUUCCAUCAUGGAUGAGCUCAAAGUGUUUGAAAGUUCUGCUUUAUCAAAACUCUUGAUGGCCUGCUUCCCAUCCUCCAUCCUGGAAGACUGAUCUGAAACCCCAGGAGGAGGUCCUCUGAGCCCUGAGGCAGAGAUCUCUCACCUGGAAGAUGGGUCUAAUGACUGCGCCCCACACACACCAGAGAGGACUGCAGAUAGUGCGGGAUGAGAGGAAGAUCUCUGGCCCUGGAGACAGCAUCAUCAAGCGAAAACGUAUGAGGAAGAAAAUAGCAGAUGAGAAGAAUCAACCAAAUUCCGGAAGCUGGAAGGCAGAUGGAAGAAGGCCCUUGAAUGAUGCCAGCACCUUGAUAUUGGACUUUCCAGCCUCCAGAACCAUGAGCCAAUACAUUUCUGUUCCAUAAAAAUUACCCAGUUCCAGGUAUUCUGCUAUAGCAGCACAAAAUGGACUAAAACAAUGUUGGCACAAGACUCAGUGCUGGGCCUGGCAUGCAACAGGUCCUUGGAGUGGCGUGCUGUGUGGAUAAUGAAUAUUGGGGAAGGCAUCUCUCUCCAGCCCCUCUCAAGCUUUCUGUAGUCACUGGUCCACUCUGUAUUGCUAUGAAGAAGCUCAAGACCAGCCUGUAUCACUCGGGGUCCUGGCAGGAACCAGGUGCCACACUCAAACUGAGUAAUUGAAGAGGGUUUAAUAUGGGAGUUAUUUACAUAGGUGUGGGCUGGUGUAGCUGCCCAUAUGCCCUCAAAAUCACCUCUACAUGGCAAUAGCUACUUACUGCUAACAGAGUCUCUCUCUCAUUGCUGCAAAUAUUUUCUAGCCAUGCAAGAAACUCAGCCGGUCAUGUUGAACAAACUAAGAGUGCCAGGAAGUUAAUGUCCUGGAAGCAUUGCCAGAGGGGAGGGGGCAGUUAGAUUCCCCAGCUUCCUCGCUCCUCUGCUGGGUUAAGCCUGCAACAUAUUCAUCAUCUCCCAGAGUGCUGCCCAGGGAUAGAGCUCCAGGUGCUCAGUGUGGUGACCUGCUCAUGUCAGCUUCUUCCCCUUUCCUGUCUUGUUUCGCACCCACAUCCUUCCCAUGUUUCCUCUUCCCAAAUAAACUACUUGCAUUGAAAUCUUUGUCUCAGGCUCUGCUUCUGGGGAAACCUGAAC